GUCAUACUAGUUUAACUAGAACAUGUGUUUUGCAUAUACAAAGUAGAAUAAUUCUGUAUGACC
rnacentral:tRNA from 1 species